ACUCGUGGCGAAGGCGGGUUCCUGGACAUUAACUGACGCUGAGGCACGAAGGCCAGGGGAGCGAAAGGGAUUAGAUACCCCUGUAGUCCUGGCAGUAAACGGUGCACGCUUGGUGUGCGGGGAAUCGACCCCCUGCGUGCCGGAGCUAACGCGUUAAGCGUGCCGCCUGGGGAGUACGGUCGCAAGAUUAAAACUCAAAGAAAUUGACGGGGACCCGCACAAGCGGUGGAGUAUGUGGCUUAAUUCGAUGCAACGCGAAGAACCUUACCUGGGCUUGACAUGUAAUGAACAACAUGUGAAAGCAUGCGACUCUUCGGAGGCGUUACACAGGUGCUGCAUGGCCGUCGUCAGCUCGUGUCGUGAGAUGUUUGGUUAAGUCCAGCAACGAGCGCAACCCCUGUUGCCAGUUACCAGCACGUGAAGGUGGGGACUCUGGCGAGACUGCCCAGAUCAACUGGGAGGAAGGUGGGGACGACGUCAGGUCAGUAUGGCCCUUAUGCCCAGGGCUGCACACGUACUACAAUGCCCAGUACAGAGGGGGCCGAAGCCGCGAGGCGGAGGAAAUCCUAAAAACUGGGCCCAGUUCGGACUGUAGGCUGCAACCCGCCUACACGAAGCCGGAAUCGCUAGUAAUGGCGCAUCAGCUACGGCGCCGUGAAUACGUUCCCGGGUCUUGUACACACCGCCCGUCACAUCAUGGAAGCCGGUCGCACCCGAAGUAUCUGAAGCCAACCGCAAGGAGGCAGGGUCCUAAGGUGAGACUGGUAACUGGGAUGAAGUCGUAACAAGGUAGCCGUAGGGGAACCUGCGGCUG
rnacentral:rRNA from 1 species